AAGCCUGCACACUGUCGUAUAGCUUGCAAAUCUGUAAUAUCUCACAGCGUUUCGAUCAAAUCACUUCUUCAGUCGUUUUAUUAAUUUCUCUGAAGGUUUUUCCAGUUGCAAGUAUAUCGCUGUUACCAUCAUGAUUUACUCGAGAAGUUUCACAAAUGAUGAUGGCGAUGCACUGCGAACUGAACCAGAGAAGGUUAAUGGUGGUGGACAUCCUCCUCCCGGCGUGAACGGGAGGAGGAACUGUUUCAUUCAGAAAUGACAGCAAAAACAUCCGAUGACACGCAAGUCAUAUGGUUUGAAGCUGAAUAAAUGGCAGGAUUGUCAUUUUUGGUGAUUUGAGAGAGCAGAUUUGCAGAUUUGCCUGGGGUGAGAUGGCCUGUUAUCUUUGAGCCUGAAGUCUUUAUCGGAUAAUUAAACAUGCAUUAAAAAGG